CCUACGGGAGACAGCAGUGAGGAAUAUUGGUCAAUGGACGCAAGUCUGAACCAGCCAUGCCGCGUGCAGGAAGACGGCUCUAUGAGUUGUAAACUGCUUUUGUACGAGGGUAAACGCAGAUACGCGUAUCUGUCUGAAAGUAUCGUACGAAUAAGGAUCGGCUAACUCCGGGCCAGCCGCCGCGGUAAUACGGAGGAUUCAAGCGUUAUCCGGAUUUAUUGGGUUUAAAGGGUGCGUAGGCGGUCGGAUAAGUUAGGGGUGAAAUCCCGAGGCUCAACUUCGGAAUUGCCUCUGAUACUGUUCGGCUAGAGAGUAGUUGCGGUAGGCGGAAUGUAUGGUGUAGCGGUGAAAUGCUUAGAGAUCAUACAGAACACCGAUUGCGAAGGCAGCUUACCAAGCUACUUCUGACGUUGAGGCACGAAAGCGUGGGGAGCAAACAGGAUUAGAUACCCGGGUAGUC
rnacentral:rRNA from 1 species